rnacentral:rRNA from 1 species
CAGCAGCCACGGUAAAACAGAGGGUGCGAGCGUUAAUCGGAUUUACUGGGCGUAAAGCGUGCGUAGGCGGCUUUUUAAGUCGGAUGUGAAAUCCCUGAGCUUAACUUAGGAAUUGCAUUCGAUACUGGGAAGCUAGAGUAUGGGAGAGGAUGGUAGAAUUCCAGGUGUAGCGGUGAAAUGCGUAGAGAUCUGGAGGAAUACCGAUGGCGAAGGCAGCCAUCUGGCCUAAUACUGACGCUGAGGUACGAAAGCAUGGGGAGCAAACAGGAUUAGAGACCCCUGUAGUCCCUGUCUCUUAUAC